rnacentral:rRNA from 1 species
GUUGUUGCUGGCCUUUCGAGGCAUGUGCACACGGAUCAUCCCCUCCCCCACACACCUCUUGUGCACUUCUCAUGGGUUGAGCUGUAUGCUUUUCCUGUGUGUCUUUUUUUACACACGUUGGUUUAAAGAAUGUCGUUUUGGAGCAUAUUGAUGCAAUACAACUUUCAGCAACGGAUCUCUUGGCUCUCGCAUCGAUGAAGAACGCAGCGAAAUGCGAUAAGUAAUGUGAAUUGCAGAAUUCAGUGAAUCAUCGAAUCUUUGAACGCACCUUGCGCUCCUUGGUAUUCCAAGGAGCAUGCCUGUUUGAGUGUCAUCGGUAUUCUCAAAUCUCCCUGUUUGAGUACAGGUAGCUUUGGACUUGGAGGUUUAUUUUGCCAGUGUUUCUUCACUCUGGCUCCUCUGAAAUGUAUUAGCUUGAUUUCCAAGCAUGAUUCAGCGUGAUAAUCAUCUACGUUGUAUUUUUGUAUGGGUGGUUUUAAGCUUCGAACCUCAUCUUGAAACAUUUGACCUCAAAUCAGGUAGGACUACCCGCUGAACUUAAGCAUAUCAAUAAGCGGAGGAAAAGAAACUAACAAGGAUUCCCCUAGUAACUGCGAGUGAAGCGGGAAAAGCUCAAAUUUAAAAUCUGGCAGCUUCGUUGCCCGAGUUGUAGUCUGGAGAAGUGCUUUCUGUGCUAGACCAUGUACAAGUCUCUUGGAACAGAGCGUCGUAGAGGGUGAGAAUCCCGUCUUUGACAUGGACUGCUGGUGCUUUGUGAUGCGCUCUCAAAGAGUCGAGUUGUUUGGGAAUGCAGCUCAAAAUGGGUGGUAAAUUCCAUCUAAAGCUAAAUAUGGGCGAGAGACCGAUAGCGAACAAGUACCGUGAGGGAAAGAUGAAAAGCACUUUGGAAAGAGAGUUAAACAGUACGUGAAAUUGCUGAAAGGGAAACGCUUGAAGUCAGUCGCGUUCGUCAGAACUCAGCCUGGUCAUUUAUUUGCCAGGUGCAUUUUCUGAUGGGACGGGCCAGCAUCAAUUUCGACCGCUGGAUAAAGGCUUGGGAAAUGUGGCACUUUCGGGUGUGUUAUAGUCCCUUGUCAGAUGCGGUGGUUGGGAUUGAGGAUCUCAGCAUGCCUUUAUGGUCGGGGUUUCGCGCCCACGUUCAUGCUUAGGAUGCUGGCGUAAUGGCUUUAAACGACCCGUCUUGAAACACGGACCAAGGAGUCUAACAUGCCUGCAAGUGUUUGGGUGGAAAACCCGAGUGCGCAAUGAAAGUGAAAGUUGGGAUCCCUGUCGUGGGGAGCACCGACGCCCGGACCAGACCUUCUGUGACGGAUCCGCGGUAGAGCAUGCAUGUUGGGACCCGAAAGAUGGUGAACUAUGCCUGAAUAGGGUGAAGCCAGAGGAAACUCUGGUGGAGGCUCGUAGCGAUUCUGACGUGCAAAUCGAUCGUCAAAUUUGGGUAUAGGGGCGAAAGACUAAUCGAACCAUCUAGUAGCUGGUUCCUGCCGAAGUUUCCCUCAGGAUAGCAGAAACUCAUGUCAGAUUUAUGUGGUAAAGCGAAUGAUUAGAGGCCUUGGGGUUGAAACAACCUUAACCUAUUCUCAAACUUUAAAUAUGUAAGAACGAGCCGUCACUUGAUUGGACUGCCCGGCGAUUGAGAGUUUCUAGUGGGCCAUUUUUGGUAAGCAGAACUGGCGAUGCGGGAUGAACCGAACGCGAGGUUAAGGUGCCGGAAUGCACGCUCAUCAGACACCACAAAAGGUGUUAGUUCAUCUAGACAGCAGGACGGUGGCCAUGGAAGUCGGAACCCGCUAAGGAGUGUGUAACAACUCACCUGCCGAAUGAACUAGCCCUGAAAAUGGAUGGCGCUCAAGCGUGCUACCCAUACCUCGCCGUCAGUGUUGAAGUGACGCGCUGACGAGUAGGCAGGCGUGGAGGUUUGUGAAGAAGCCUAGGCAGUGAUGCUGGGUGAAACAGCCUCUAGUGCAGAUCU